rnacentral:rRNA from 1 species
AUUGAACGCUGGCGGAAUGCUUUACACAUGCAAGUCGAACGGCAGCACGGGUGCUUGCACCUGGUGGCGAGUGGCGAACGGGUGAGUAAUGCACCGGAACGUAUCCAAUAAUGGGGGAUAACGCACCGAAAGGUGUGCUAAUACCGCAUACGCCCUGAGGGGGAAAGCGGGGGAUCGUAAGACCUCGCGUUAAUGGAGCGGCCGAUGCCGGAUUAGCUAGUUGGUGAGGUAAAGGCUCACCAAGGCGACGAUCCGUAGCCGGUCUGAGAGGACGACCAGCCACACUGGAACUGAGACACGGUCCAGACUCCUACGGGAGGCAGCAGUGGGAAUUUUGGACAAUGGGCGCAAGCCUGAUCCAGCCAUUCCGCGUGAGUGAAGAAGGCCU